rnacentral:rRNA from 1 species
GGUUAAGCGACUAAGCGUACACGGUGGAUGCCCUGGCAGUCAGAGGCGAUGAAGGACGUGCUAAUCUGCGAUAAGCGUCGGUAAGGUGAUAUGAACCGUUAUAACCGGCGAUUUCCGAAUGGGGAAACCCAGUGUGAUUCGUCACACUAUCAUUAACUGAAUCCAUAGGUUAAUGAGGCGAACCGGGGGAACUGAAACAUCUAAGUACCCCGAGGAAAAGAAAUCAACCGAGAUUCCCCCAGUAGCGGCGAGCGAACGGGGAGCAGCCCAGAGCCUGAAUCAGUGUGUGUGUUAGUGGAAGCGUCUGGAAAGGCGCGCGAUACAGGGUGACAGCCCCGUACACAAAAAUGCACAUGCUGUGAGCUCGAUGAGUAGGGCGGGACACGUGGUAUCCUGUCUGAAUAUGGGGGGACCAUCCUCCAAGGCUAAAUACUCCUGACUGACCGAUAGUGAACCAGUACCGUGAGGGAAAGGCGAAAAGAACCCCGGCGAGGGGAGUGAAAAAGAACCUGAAACCGUGUACGUACAAGCAGUGGGAGCACGCUUAGGCGUGUGACUGCGUACCUUUUGUAUAAUGGGUCAGCGACUUAUAUUCUGUAGCAAGGUUAACCGAAUAGGGGAGCCGAAGGGAAACCGAGUCUUAACUGGGCGUUAAGUUGCAGGGUAUAGACCCGAAACCCGGUGAUCUAGCCAUGGGCAGGUUGAAGGUUGGGUAACACUAACUGGAGGACCGAACCGACUAAUGUUGAAAAAUUAGCGGAUGACUUGUGGCUGGGGGUGAAAGGCCAAUCAAACCGGGAGAUAGCUGGUUCUCCCCGAAAGCUAUUUAGGUAGCGCCUCGUGAAUUCAUCUCCGGGGGUAGAGCACUGUUUCGGCAAGGGGGUCAUCCCGACUUACCAACCCGAUGCAAACUGCGAAUACCGGAGAAUGUUAUCACGGGAGACACACGGCGGGUGCUAACGUCCGUCGUGAAGAGGGAAACAACCCAGACCGCCAGCUAAGGUCCCAAAGUCAUGGUUAAGUGGGAAACGAUGUGGGAAGGCCCAGACAGCCAGGAUGUUGGCUUAGAAGCAGCCAUCAUUUAAAGAAAGCGUAAUAGCUCACUGGUCGAGUCGGCCUGCGCGGAAGAUGUAACGGGGCUAAACCAUGCACCGAAGCUGCGGCAGCGACGCUGAUGCGUUGUUGGGUAGGGGAGCGUUCUGUAAGCCUGCGAAGGUGUGCUGUGAGGCAUGCUGGAGGUAUCAGAAGUGCGAAUGCUGACAUAAGUAACGAUAAAGCGGGUGAAAAGCCCGCUCGCCGGAAGACCAAGGGUUCCUGUCCAACGUUAAUCGGGGCAGGGUGAGUCGACCCCUAAGGCGAGGCCGAAAGGCGUAGUCGAUGGGAAACAGGUUAAUAUUCCUGUACUUGGUGUUACUGCGAAGGGGGGACGGAGAAGGCUAUGUUGGCCGGGCGACGGUUGUCCCGGUUUAAGCGUGUAGGCUGGUUUUCCAGGCAAAUCCGGAAAAUCAAGGCUGAGGCGUGAUGACGAGGCACUACGGUGCUGAAGCAACAAAUGCCCUGCUUCCAGGAAAAGCCUCUAAGCAUCAGGUAACAUCAAAUCGUACCCCAAACCGACACAGGUGGUCAGGUAGAGAAUACCAAGGCGCUUGAGAGAACUCGGGUGAAGGAACUAGGCAAAAUGGUGCCGUAACUUCGGGAGAAGGCACGCUGAUAUGUAGGUGAAGCGACUUGCUCGUGGAGCUGAAAUCAGUCGAAGAUACCAGCUGGCUGCAACUGUUUAUUAAAAACACAGCACUGUGCAAACACGAAAGUGGACGUAUACGGUGUGACGCCUGCCCGGUGCCGGAAGGUUAAUUGAUGGGGUUAGCGCAAGCGAAGCUCUUGAUCGAAGCCCCGGUAAACGGCGGCCGUAACUAUAACGGUCCUAAGGUAGCGAAAUUCCUUGUCGGGUAAGUUCCGACCUGCACGAAUGGCGUAAUGAUGGCCAGGCUGUCUCCACCCGAGACUCAGUGAAAUUGAACUCGCUGUGAAGAUGCAGUGUACCCGCGGCAAGACGGAAAGACCCCGUGAACCUUUACUAUAGCUUGACACUGAACAUUGAGCCUUGAUGUGUAGGAUAGGUGGGAGGCUUUGAAGUGUGGACGCCAGUCUGCAUGGAGCCGGCCUUGAAAUACCACCCUUUAAUGUUUGAUGUUCUAACGUUGACCCGUAAUCCGGGUUGCGGACAGUGUCUGGUGGGUAGUUUGACUGGGGCGGUCUCCUCCUAAAGAGUAACGGAGGAGCACGAAGGUUGGCUAAUCCUGGUCGGACAUCAGGAGGUUAGUGCAAUGGCAUAAGCCAGCUUGACUGCGAGCGUGACGGCGCGAGCAGGUGCGAAAGCAGGUCAUAGUGAUCCGGUGGUUCUGAAUGGAAGGGCCAUCGCUCAACGGAUAAAAGGUACUCCGGGGAUAACAGGCUGAUACCGCCCAAGAGUUCAUAUCGACGGCGGUGUUUGGCACCUCGAUGUCGGCUCAUCACAUCCUGGGGCUGAAGUAGGUCCCAAGGGUAUGGCUGUUCGCCAUUUAAAGUGGUACGCGAGCUGGGUUUAGAACGUCGUGAGACAGUUCGGUCCCUAUCUGCCGUGGGCGCUGGAGAACUGAGGGGGGCUGCUCCUAGUACGAGAGGACCGGAGUGGACGCAUCACUGGUGUUCGGGUUGUCAUGCCAAUGGCACUGCCCGGUAGCUAAAUGCGGAAGAGAUAAGUGCUGAAAGCAUCUAAGCACGAAACUUGCCCCGAGAUGAGUUCUCCCUGACUCCUUGAGAGUCCUGAAGGAACGUUGAAGACGACGACGUUGAUAGGCCGGGUGUGUAAGCGCAGCGAUGCGUUGAGCUAACCGGUACUAAUGAACCGUGAGGCUUAACCUU